UCAGUGAAGUAGCAGAAGGGAGCGAGGGUGUCCCCCUGAAAUUGGCCCCGCUACCGCGGCGAGGAGCGCUGGCCGGGCACGCACCCCGCCGGUCUGCGCUGGGAUGAUGCUGGAGCAGGACACCGGCCUCUCCUUGGCCAUCGCGCAGAUCGUGCAGCGGCUGAAGGGCUCCAGCCUUCAUUCCCAGCUGGAGCGGCAGGCCCGGGGUAGUCUACACAAACCAGAAAUUAAACUUGACUCACUAAAGGAAGAUAUUAAGGAAUUUCUGAAGACCUCAGGAUGGGAAAAGAGGCUUCAGAAUGCUGUUUAUAGUGAACUCAAUGUGUUCCCUUCACCCUGUCAUCCUGCAGCACCCCCUGAGCACAUGAAGGAACCCUUAGUUUACAUGAGGAAAGCACAGGGAAGCUGGGAGAAGCGAAUUCUGAAGAGUCUAAAUAGCAUGUGCACAGAACUCAGUAUCCCAUUAGCACGAAAGAGACCAAUAGGAGAGCAAAAAGAACUUCUUAAUAAAUGGAAUGAAAUGGGAACUGAUGAGCCAGAUCUAACUCUCUUCCGACCUGUUUAUGCACCUAAAGAUUUUCUUGAGGUACUGAUGAAUCUUCGCAACCCAAAUUAUGAAAAUGGGGAUCAGCCUAGUUUCAGAAAUCACCUGGGUCUAAUUCAGGUUCCUCUAAAAGUUAAAGACAUCCCUGAACUGAAAGAUUAUUUCAGUGAGCUAGGCUUGAAUACAGGACAGCUGGGUAUUGAUGAUUCUACACAAGUGCCUCCAGAACUCUUUGAAAAUGAACAUGUACGUGUUGGGCAAACAGUUUUAACAGAACAAGAUAGUGCUGCAGCCCAACAGUAUGUCCGUCAGGGAUGCCCAACAGCACUUCGAGCUGAAUUGUGGGCACUCAUUCUGAAUAUUUCUAAUCAGCCUGAGGACAUUUUGUACUACGAACAGCUUAAGUCCAAUGUGAUUCAGCAUGAUCUUUUAGUGGACAGCCUGAUUUACAAAGAUGUAAAGCUGACAGCAAGCAAUGAUGACUACUAUUUUGUAUUUGAGGAUUAUUUAUAUCAGGUACUACUCUGUUUUUCCCGAGAUACAUCAGUACUGGAGCACUUUUCUUACAAUAGCGCUACUCCACCCAAAUCAUACAUACGAGGAAAACUUGGCAUGGAAGAAUAUGCAGUUUUUUAUCCACCAAAUGCCAUGUCACCUAUGGGAAGUGAGAUGAUUUGGAAAAGAGAGGAAAACAGACAACACAACUGCCAAGAUGUCUACAUGUCUUUACUGGGUGUAAUUCCUUUUCACGGCUUUUCAAUGUAUGUUGCUCCACUUUGUUUUCUGUACCAUGAACCUUCCAAAUUGUAUCAGAUAUUCCGUGAGAUGUAUGUGCGUUUUUUCUUCAGACUCCAUUCCAUCUCUUCUCAUCCUUCUGGCAUUGUGUCACUAUGUUUGCUGUUUGAGACACUUCUUCAAACCCAUCUCCCUCAGCUUUUCUAUCAUCUUCGAGAAAUUGGGGCGCAACCACUACGAAUAUCAUUUAAAUGGAUGGUACGAGCAUUCUCUGGUUACUUAGCUACAGACCAACUUCUGCUUUUGUGGGACAGAAUCCUAGGAUACAAUUCUCUAGAAAUUCUCGCUGUCCUGGCAGCUGCUGUGUUUGCUUUCCGAGCAGUGAACCUGAUGGAGGUGACAUCACUGGCUGCAGCCGAAGCUGUACUUGCUGACCUUUCAACCCUGAAGGUUAUGCCUCUUCUUCAGAUCUUCCUGUUUGCUACUGUCACUUGAUCUGUUUCAAGGUCACUGACACUGCACAUCCAGUCUUUCAUUAGAAACUAAUAAUGAACUAUGCAACGUCUGCAUAAAACCAAAUUAAACUGUAUGUAUAUGUCACUUACAGAUCAUGUUCUCUUUACAGUUAAGUGUAAGUUUUCUACAUAUAAAAUAAUAACUUUACACACUAACCUGUGCAUUUGCAUGCUGCUGUAUUUCAACAUAACAGCAAUAGAUAUAACUGAUGAGGUAUGAGAAUCAUUAUUUGUGCGUAUAAAUAACACAAAUCAAUGUAUAAAAUGCAUGUAAAAUGCAAUAAAACAAAGGUAAUGAAGUUAAAUUCUUGAUCUAAUAUGAGUUCCGUACCAGAUCCACUAAUAUCAGAUUGGAAAAAACUGUGUUUCAUCUGAUUAUAACUCCACUACAAGAAUGUCAACUCAAGAGUACAGUAACACUUGAAAACGUGCUUUAACUUUUGGGAACUUUUAUGUAAUUUCCUAUGAGAAAUCAGAGAAAUGCUUCUGUUCCAUUUCUGUUUUCCAGGAAUCCUCUUCGUGUUCUUCACCAUUUUACUUAUUUCUUUUUAAUCUAUUGAUCCCCCACAGCCUUUCUAGAUGUCUGUCACUAAGUAUCAAAGGAUGAGAGUUUGAAAAGUGCCUGAGAGUCUUGCCUUGCAAAAAGUGCUGGAUAUAGCUUCCUCCAGAACUGUCAAAGCCUAGCUUUAGCGUGGAUGCAUUAUGAAGAUGGCAGUUCUUUUUUAUCCCCUAUCCCACACACCCUUUUCAAGACCUGUAUGUGUGUGGCCUCUGCUGGUCCAAGAGCUCAGGCUUCAAUUCAGGAUCCAGCUCAUAUCCCUGCAUGACUGUGUAUUGCACUGUCACUAGACCACCAGGUGGCCCAUCUUCUGUUGACUAUAAUUUUUUUUUAUGAUUUUUUCAGGGAUUCUGAAAUACUAAACAGAACCAUUAGGAUUAAUUUAUUACUUUAUUUUAAUACCUAAUAAAGGAUUAUAGUUAAAAUUGAGUGAAGUGUAUAACAUUGUAUACCCCAUGCAUUCACCAGAUCACUUUAUUUUGGACCAGUUUCUACUUUUCAAAUACAGUAUGGAUGUGUGUGGAACGUGACCCUCUGUAUUUUAAGAGAGAUCCAGCUUCCAUUUACAUUAGACUAUUAUCUACAUUAUUAAUAUACAGCAUUAACAAGGCAAAUAUUAGUUUUUUAUAGACCCAAAAAAACAUAUGUAUACCUUGCAUAUAAAUUGGGCAUGCUGAAUGUCUGACAGUAAGGCUAUGUCUACGCAGCGAUGUAAGCCCGAGCUCAAGUCUCACCCCCUUGCAUCCACACACCAAUUGUGUUAACCUAGGGCUCAAACCUAGUGUCCCAGGACUCUGCAGGGCUGGAGGGUCCAAGCCUGUGUUAAGCUGGGAUCUAGCGUCCAAGCCCUAUUGCUUUCCUGUGUGCACACAGCCUUGGUCUGACUCAAAUCCUGGAAGUCCUCUGGAUGUAUUCCAGAGAUCCUUGGGGCAACUUCCUUAGUCCUCUCUCUGCUGACAGUCUGUGGUGCAGUCUAGUGCAAAUGGAAGCCACACCUCCCUUUGUCAGUUUGAGUACAUUGACACUUCCCUUAUGAUUAUGGCCAUGCAGUCAAUGUCAAAGCAAACGUCUAACAAAAGAGUUAAUUACAAACCUAUUUUAAAAUAGUAGUACUGCAGAAGACUAGGACCUGGCAUGUGAAUUGAAAGCUGACUAUAUUUUUCAAUGAACAGGAGUAAACAUAAUUUGUGCAAGACAAAGAGUGUGGCUAAUUUUUAUGCUUUGUAUUUUUUUUUAACAAAUAUGUUGGAUCUCUUUAUAUACCUACUGAUUAGGACACAAAUUAGAUUUUGGCAAGCAAGGGCUCAAUGUAAGAUCUGGGAUUUACUAAUGACUCUAUAGUUAGUUUUAUCCAGCAGUUUUGGUGGUUCGUAGAAAGAAAUAUUUUGUAUUUAGAUGGCACUUUUCAUCUGAAAAUCUGAAACAGGGAUUAGUUAUAGUUCCCAAGACCCCUUACUAAUGUUAAAUCAGUACAAAUGAACUAUAGAUAGCAGUGGUAUUU